CACGGACCGCACGAACGUUAUUCGGUAUCACUGGGCUUAAAGGGUGCGUAGGCGGCUUUGAAAGUUGGGUGUGAAAGCCCUCGGCUCAACCGAGGAAUUGCGCUCAAUACUGCCGAGCUCGAGAGAGACAGAGGUAAGCGGAACUAAUGGUGGAGCGGUGAAAUGCGUUGAUAUCGGAAGGAACACCAGUGGCGAAAGCGGCGCGCUGGACCUCUUCUGACGCUGAGGCGCGAAAGCCAGGGGAGCAAACGGG
rnacentral:rRNA from 1 species